rnacentral:lncRNA from 1 species
GGCGGACGGGAAGGCGGGAGAGGAGAAGCCCGAGAAGCCGCAGCGAGCCGGAGCCGCCGGAGAAGCCUAAGGAAACAGUUCCAACUCUUGCUCCAAAAACUCUUUCAGUAGCAGCAGCUUUCAAUGAAGAUGAAGAUAGUGAGCCGGAAGAAAUGCCUCCAGAAGCGAAGAUGAGGAUGAAGAACAUCGGAAGGGACACGCCAACAUCAGCCGGACCAAACUCCUUUAAUAAAGGAAAGCAUGGCUUUUCCGAUAACCAGAAGCUGUGGGAGCGAAAUAUCAAAUCUCAUCUUGGAAACGUCCACGACCAAGACAAUUAAGAGAAGUGUUCUGAGAUUGGGGUGUGGGCGGGUGCAUUAGAAGGAGCAGUCAGCCUCCUUUUUGUAAAGAAUGGUGUAAGACUAGCUUUGGAGCCGUUUUUCUUUCUUCUUUUUUCUUUUCCUUUUUUCUUUUUUUUUUUUUAAGAUUGAGUGGUACACUAAUAAAUGAGAGUUUGCAAUUAGAGGUAAUUUAUGUUUUAUAUACAGAUUUCAAGACAUUUGCUAAUUUUGUAGUUUCACAUGAUUAGUUUCCAAGGGUUACAGAUAAUAAAGAAAUCAGAAGUGGUACCUUUCUAAGAAUUGCAUAUUUUUUUAGACACAACUAUUAGCACAUUAAGAGGGAAGCCAAAAG